AUACGGAGGGUCCGAGCGUUAUCCGGAAUCAUUGGGUUUAAAGGGUCCGUAGGCGGGCAGCUCAGUCAGUGGUGAAAGUUUGCAGCUCAACUGUAAAAUUGCCAUUGAUACUGGUUGUCUUGAAUUAAUGUGAAGUGGUUAGAAUAAGUAGUGUAGCGGUGAAAUGCAUAGAUAUUACUUAGAAUACCAAUUGCGAAGGCAGAUCACUAACAUUAUAUUGACGCUGAUGGACGAAAGCGUGGGGAGCGAACAGGAUUAGAUACCCUAGUAGUCC
rnacentral:rRNA from 1 species